CCUAGCUAGUGAAUAUAUGUGCCUAGUUACCGGUCCAUUUGCUUGGCAGGGGAUCUAACAUAUUCUCUUUAACAUAUUCUACAAGUGUCUUUUCUCUACCUUUUACAAGUUAAGCUUGCAGCCUCAAAAAAUUAGGACCAGUUCUGGAUGUAUGCUUUUGGAGUUGCUUUGGUUUGUUAUGUGAAAAGAACAAUCUGGAGCUUAAAGCAGUUAAAUAGGGAGCAGUUAGAUACGCUGCCUCGAAGAAGAAGGCUCAGUUAUAUGAGAUGCUUGUAAGGGGGUAGAGCUUUCGGAUUAAGAAGGGGAAGAGAAGUACUGUGUGGAUUUCUUCAGGAAAGGAGUAGGACAUGGAGAAGAUUUACAAUUAUGGAGAAACAGCAACGGUUUCUGUUUCAUCACCACCUGAAGAUAAAGGCAGAUGGUGAAGAAGAAGAUGAUGUUUCGUUGUUUAGCACUAGAUUUGCUGGAGUUGGACGUGCCGUUAGGACAGC